rnacentral:rRNA from 1 species
UGGGGAAUAUUGGGCAAUGGGCGCAAGCCUGACCCAGCAACGCCGCGUGAAGGAAGAAGGCUUUCGGGUUGUAAACUUCUUUUCUGAGGGACGAUAGUGACGGUACCUCAGGAAUAAGCCACGGCUAACUACGUGCCAGCAGCCGCGGUAAUACGUAGGUGGCAAGCGUUAUCCGGAUUUACUGGGUGUAAAGGGCGUGUAGGCGGGACUGCAAGUCAGAUGUGAAAACCAGGGCUCAACUCCUGGCCUGCAUUUGAAACUGUAGUUCUUGAGUGUUGGAGAGGCAGGCGGAAUUCCGUGUGUAGCGGUGAAAUGCGUAGAUAUACGGAGGAACACCGGAGGCGAAAGCGGCUCUCUGGCCUGUAACUGACACUGAGGCUCGAAAGCGUGGGGAGCAAACAGGAUUAGAUACC